GUGAAAGCAAGAGUGGCAGACGAGUCCCUGGUGGCGGGGAGGCGGCCGACCUUAAAGGAGCUGCCACUGUGAUUCUUCUAAAGCCUGCUCUGUUUGGAAAGGCAAAAACGAAGCAAGAAAAAUAAGUGACGGCCAAGAAGACAUACAAUAGUCAUCCGGAGCUAAAAAGGAAGGAUACUGCCACUCUGAACAAAACUAGGGUUCUGCUGGUGAGGAUGAAGGAGAGAAUUUAUAACCCACACUAUUGCAAUUUAAUACGUGUACCUAUAUAGAAAGUGCCUGCUUGGAUAAGUUUCAACAGAUGUAUACACCAGCCAAGCACUGAGUACUACUCCAUUGUCUGGCUGGACCACAGUUUAUUUAUCCGUUCACCCACUGCAGGACAUCUUGGUUCCUUCCAGUUUUGGCAAUCACGAAUACAGCUGCUGUGAACACCCACG